AGGACUCACAACCCUUCAGACUAAACCACUGUGAAGACCAGGUUCUAAAAACCCUCUGUGCAAUCCCCUCCUAUAACCUCACCCUCCCUCUGUGCAACCAGGAGUGCCCCUGUGUCCCUAGAGCAAGAGCAGGCAGCAAAGAUCUGCCUUUCUCUUCCAGCUUCCUGACUGCCUCUGCCCUGAGGGGAUUAGAGUCUUCUUGUAGCCAAGACAAGGGAUGCACGGUCCUCACAUCUCAGAGUCACUCAGGGGCUGGGAAUCAAAGAAAGGUGACUUUGGUCACCAAGGUCAAGUUUAAAGUUCCCAUGAAGGACUAAGAGCCUCUUCCGGUUGCAGAGUCUAAGCAGGUUGAGAAGAACUUUUUGCGUACCCGCUCUCCCACUGCUUAAGAGGAAAGGUAUAGCCUAGAGCAGUAGGGUCUGUGUGGAUAAGGUUGGACUUUGAGAUCAAGUACAGGCCACUUGCUAUCCGUGCCUCUUGCUGGGGACUGCGGGCAUGGGGUAAGCAUCAGGCCUUAGUGCUGGGGAGCUGGGGGCCUGGGGACAGUGCGGAGGCAGGUGGUACUUUAGCUCCUGUAGCUCUUGGUGGACGAUGUCUUGGAGACAAUGCGCAUGCUUGAGCUGCUGCCGCUCACACUGCGGCCG
rnacentral:lncRNA from 1 species